AUCACAUGUCCCUUCACCUGCCUCCUUCUAUGAUGAACUGGUCAGGAUCACAGUGCUGAGUCUUGAAGGCCUUUGUGACGGGAGCACGGAGCCCAGUCUUUGACAUGGAAACAGCAGAGGUGUAAACUGCUCACAGGAAGACCACCACACUGUCCUUUAGUUUUACAGAUAAGGAGUGGAAAUAAGUAGUCACCUUCGCAGUUACUAGAUAAAACAAGCACAUCUAGUCACUCAGCGGACCGUAGGGUGUGCCUGGCCUGUGGAAUUAUGAAUAUCUUAGGGAGCAAAUAAAAACCAGAGCCCUACACUCUCUAUUUCUGUUCUUAACAGCUACAGGAGGAAGCAAAGAAAACAAGGAAAAUACUUAAAGGUGAGGGAGGUUGCCAGAGAGGAGAAGAGGAGAGGAGGAAGCUGCGGAUAACCUGGCAAAGCUCCCUGGGAGAGGAUGCCCGCUACGAACAACUUCUACGUCCAGAUCUGCCCUUCAGUGCGGGUGACGGAAUAACUGUCAAGAAGUGCAGGCGUCAGAAGUAGUGUUCCAACUGGAAACCACUAGGUCUCUGGUGGGGAGACCUAGUGAGGUGCCCACUAACAUCUCAACAGCCAAAGGCACCGGCUGUGUAAUACGGGCACUGACAGACUCCUCCCUGCAGCACCCUGCUGCUGCAAACCGUUAUCUUCAGGCUUGGCACACUCCUUUAACCAGCACCUCCCACACCGGAAUGUUUCUCAAGCCUGUUUGCAGAGAGACACGGGAGCCAACCUUCUAGAGCCUGGACACCUCUUGCCUCCCAACUGAUGUCCUGAAACUGUUCAAAAGGCAAGACAAUCAUGGGAGUGAUUUCCUUACGUCAAAGGAGAAGGAGAAGAGCCAAGGUUGUUUUACAUAGUCACCCAAUUCUUCAGAGAUGCUGCCGUGGGCCGAGGCACAAGCUGAGCCCCAGGAUUUGGCAGCCUCUCAUUGAGCGAGCAGCAAAGGCACACUUACGUGCAUCCAGCAGGUUCCUCCCUCCAAGACUUCUGAAGACCACCCAGAGCUUAAACUUGCCCAGCUGUUCUGGGGUUCCCCCUCUCUACACAGGGAGGUCUUGCACCCUACCACUGCCUCUUGUGACCAUUUCUUAACAUUUGGCUGCUUCAGCAGCAUGGCUGAGGCCUGCAUAGCUGACAA